rnacentral:tRNA from 1 species
UGGGGUAUAGCUUAGUGGUAGAGCACAUGCAGACAUGAGGUUCUAGAUUCAAUUCCCAGCACCCCCA